AAUGUGACCUCAAAUCAGGUAGGACUA
rnacentral:rRNA from 1 species